CCUUUCGUCCCUCAAAACUCUCUCAAGGUUCUUCGGAACCUAGACCACCUCCUACCUUUUCACCGCCCUUUCACCGGAAUCUAUGGCUUCUCAGACCAUGGAUGGUCUAUCCUCACCCCUCUUCACCAUUAGACCUUGAGUGUUUGACUUUCUGAAGUCUGACCUUAAUGGUUCUUUUUAAGAUCUUAUCAGAUCUUUGGUUCCAGGGCCUCUUUGACCUUUGCUCCUGCAUAUUCAAGCAUUAUGAGCAUUUCCUGACCUCUUCGACUCAGGAUCUGACUUUCCUCAUGGUCUUUCUCAUUUCUAAGGUUUCUCCAAAACCCUAAGCUAUUCGAGGUUUUCUCUGGUUGUCUUCUUAAGAUCUGUGAUAUAUUUAGGCUCCCCUAGAUGUUUAAAGUGUUUUCCCCAGAACUUCUCUUUUGAAAUUGCUUUUCUUCAAUCUAGGGUUUCUAAAAGUUUUUCAAGGCAUCUUUUUAAUCUUCCUAUUCUUUUCUUUAUGUGUGUAUUUGUCUAUAUUAUGCUCGUGUGUCCUCUUUUCUACCGCGCAUGUUGUUCUUCUAUUUUUCUUUCUAUACCUG
rnacentral:lncRNA from 1 species